UACGGAGGGUGCAAGCGUUAUCCGGAUUCACUGGGUUUAAAGGGUGCGUAGGUGGGUUGGUAAGUCAGUGGUGAAAUCCCCGAGCUUAACUUGGGAACUGCCAUUGAUACUAUCAGUCUUGAAUAUUGUGGAGGUCAGCGGAAUAUGUCAUGUAGCGGUGAAAUGCUUAGAUAUGACAUAGAACACCAACUGCGAAGGCAGCUGGCUACGCAUAUAUUGACACUGAGGCACGAAAGCGUGGGGAUCAAACAGG
rnacentral:rRNA from 1 species